UAGUUUGACUUGGGAGAAUCUGUAAAUUCUUCACUCUUCACUAUCUCAAAUACUUUCCUUAUUCUUUUCUUUUCUUUAAGGUUAACUGCAUUAGUAAAACAAGGGGAUUAGAGUCUCUUAGAUGCAUUAUAUUUACCAAAAAUGUACUGUGAUGAUGUAAUCAGGUAUUUUCUUGCCAUGCGGUGUUACUGUUUUAUGGAAAAUUCCAAAGCAUCUAUUCCUUGGAGGAUGAUGCCAAAUUGCUCUCUAAAUCUUGGACUCGUUUCCAAAAAUGGACUGUGUGAUGAUGUAAUCGGGUUUGUUUUAUGGUUGUUUGUACCUUGGUAGAUCAGUUUGAAUGUUGAAAUUCAUGUUCAGCCUACGAGAUAAGGUUUAAGAAUGCAUGUAUGUCCAAUCUGUAAAAGGGUCAGUGGAGCCUGGCACAUUUACAGUUGAAUGAUGUGCAGAGAAUGGCAUAGUUUCUGUAAGGACAGAUGUUUAUUCAUUUGGAAUUGUUCUGUUGCAACUGAUAUCAGGACGCAAUGUGAUCAAUGAAAAUCAAGAAGAGCAAAGCCAGUCUCUACUUCAAUGGAAGUGCUGAUCGAAAAGCUUGCAUUACAUGAACUGAUUAAUCCUCAUAUUGGAAAAUCCUACGACAUAUACGAACUGUACCAUAUGGCUAGGACAACGUACUUGUGUGUUAGGAGAAGGCUGGAAAUGCGCCCAUCCAUGGGACAGGUGGGGAGAAGUCAAGCUAUAGGGCCAGUUAGGGUUAGAAGGGAUGCUACAGCUCGUGCUAUGUGGGGUUGGCACUCUCAACGUCUUCUUAGCAAUGGUUAUGCUGGCGACUCACCUAUCAAGCUGCAGCAGCAGAUCCUUGUCAUGAGUAACUGACAUGUUGUGUGGUAAGUGACUCCUUUUAUCAGCUAGCAUUAAUAUAGAGUUGGUGGGAAUUGAAUGAGUGUUGCCUAUAGACACAUGCUGCCACUACAAGAAAAUGGGCCUUUAGCCAUGGUUUUUUACCUGCAGACACAUGCUGUUAUUUUUUUUGUUGUUGUUUCUAGUCCUAGAUUAAUAGUUAAAAGAACUAUGAUUGACUUAGAUCUAUGUUGGGUUGAGUUUGGCCAUGACCAAACUUAUCUCAGCAAUAACAGGUUUGUUAAGUCCACGCCCACCUAGAUGCAGGGUACUUGUGUCUUUUAUUUACUUUGUGAAGGGGGAAGCUAGCAGUAAAUCCAAAGCUGCAGAUAUUUUCGAUAGUGAGAUGUUUGAAUGGACACAGAGCUUGCUCUCCCGAACUUUGUUCUACACCGAUGAAAACACGGGUACUGCUAUUUUCAGAGGAAUGUAAUGGUCCUUGAUCUGAGACCAUAAAAUGUAUAAUAGGCUUUAUCUCUCAGCUUCUGCAUGCGAGGCUCAUGGUUAAACUGCUUUAUUCUGCUAUGAAAAACUCAGGUAGGGUUUUGAAGUAAAGCAUGUAAUGUACAACUCUGCUUAUGGUUUCUACUGCCUACAACUCCAUGUUGAAUUGUAUUUUAUUGUUUCACAUGGAAGGGUGUCCCGAAGUCGAUGUGUACUCUUUUCACCCAGAGAUAAACAUAACUCGAUGAGGUAUAUGAUACUCAGGUUGUGUAUGACGCUUGAUACGCAGGCAUCCAGAAACUUAGAUAAAACCUUCUAAAUUGUGCAACCACUGUCGUGAAGUCACAAUCCCUAGAUCAGAUUGUUUAAAAAAUCCAAACCUCUGAUCCGUGGACAUUUGUUUGUGGAAAUAAGACCAUUUGGAUAUUUUUCAUUUUAACUGUCCAAUAAAUGUCCACCAACCCAAUAGUCAGAUAUCAAGUAAGAUUGAUUUUUGGUCCACGAUACAUCUACACUGGGUAGCAAAAUUUUUAUGGUUUAACUUGACUAGUUUGCCACGUGUGCAAUUUCUAAUUUCGAGUGCCCGUGUAUCACACUCAUCCGGAGUAUCAACGUUCGUCUCAAACUCAAUUGAGUUUUGCUGGUGGUUUCUGUGCAAAACAACGAAUAACUGCUUGUAUGGAGCUGUACUGAGAACUUGUCUGCAAUGAUCAGAUUUUGCAAUCCCUUUUGAGUUCCUUCAACACGUUAGUGAUAUUCUAGAUCGUAUUUCUUCAAGCUAUAUGUUUGCAUAAGUGCUUUUAGGUUACAAUUAUGUUACACUGGUUGGGUGAAAUUUUGGAUCUGUUUCUAGUUUUUUUUUUUUUUUCAAAAAAUGGAUCCUGCACUAAUUGGGUUGAUUUUUCAGUUUUUUUUUUUUUUAUACCCCAGAUUGUGGUUGAAGUAAAAAUAGGAAUGUCCCAAUCUUAUCUCAACCAUGAUUUGGUGAGAGCGCAUUCUGUUGGAUAUGGAAAUAGAAUCACCCAAAUAAAUUGUAUAUUUCCAUUCCCUACAACCCUACAAC